AAGCAGAGCCCUGCCAGGCUGGAGCUCCCUCACCACAUGGGCUCCCCACUGGCUUCCAGGGGUACAGAAAUGAUGUUUCAUGCAGAGGAAAAGGUCCCUUCUCCAAAGGAAAUGCCUGGUGAUGUGGAUGUGGAAUUAUUUCAGCACAGUUCUUUUGGGUACAUUUCUUCCUCAAAUAUGUUUAAGAACAGAUAAGAUAACAUAAAGCAUCCUCACGGUGCUUGCUACCAUGAGAAGAAUUUUAUUGACUGGGAAAUCGUCUGGGGACAGAGAAAUUGCUGCUUUGUCUCUCUGCACAAACCAUUUCUGGGAAGAGCUCAGAGUUCUGCAUCUUUGUCACAGCUUUGUCACAUCAG